UGUAACCUACGGGGGGCAGCAGUGGGGGAUAUUGCACAAUGGGCGCAAGCCUGAUGCAGCGACGCCGCGUGAGCGAAGAAGUAUUUCGGUAUGUAAAGCUCUAUCAGCAGGGAAGAAAAUGACGGUACCUUACUAAGAAGCUCCGGCUUAAUAAGUGCCAGCAGCCGCGGUAAUACGUAUGGAGCACGCGUUAUCCGGAAUUACUGGGUGUAAAGGGAGCGUAGGCGGCAAGGCAAGUCUGAUGU
rnacentral:rRNA from 1 species